rnacentral:rRNA from 1 species
UGAGGAACAUGACUUUCGGCGGGGGAUAGCCGGCCCAACGGCCGGGUAAUACCGCGUACGACCUUUUGGGGACAUCCCUGAUUGGUGAAAGCAGCAAUGCGCCGAAAGAGUGCCUCGCGGCCUAUCAGCUAGUUGGUGGGGUAAUGGCUCACCAAGGCGACGACGGGUAGCUGGUCUGAGAGGAUGGCCAGCCACAUUGGGACUGAGACACGGCCCAGACCUCCGUACGGGA